AACGAACGCUGGCGGCAGGCUUAACACAUGCAAGUCGAACGCAUCCUUCGGGGUGAGUGGCAGACGGGUGAGUAACGCGUGGGAACGUGCCCUUCAGUUCGGGAUAACCCAGGGAAACUUGGGCUAAUACCGGAUACGUGCGAGAGCAGAAAGAUUUUUCGCUGAAGGAUCGGCCCGCGUCUGAUUAGCUAGUUGGUGGGGUAAUGGCCCACCAAGGCGACGAUCAGUAGCUGGUUUGAGAGGAUGAUCAGCCACAUUGGGACUGAGACACGGCCCAAACUCCUACGGGAGGCAGCAGUGGGGAAUAUUGGACAAUGGGCGCAAGCCUGAUCCAGCCAUGCCGCGUGAGUGAUGAAGGCCUUAGGGUUGUAAAGCUCUUUCGUCCGGGACGAUAAUGACGGUACCGGAAGAAGAAGCCCCGGCUAACUUCGUGCCAGCCGCCGCGGUAA
rnacentral:rRNA from 1 species